rnacentral:misc_RNA from 1 species
GAUGAAGAACGUAGCGAAAUGCGAUAAGUAAUGUGAAUUGCAGAAUUCAGUGAAUCAUCGAAUCUUUGAACGCACAUUGCGCCCGCCAGUAUUCUGGCGGGCAUGCCUGUUCGAGCGUCAUUUCAACCAUCAAGCCCCAGGCUUGUGUUGGGGACCUGCGGCUGCCGCAGGCCCUGAGAACCAGUGGCGGGCUCGCUAGUCACACCGAGCGUAGUAGCAUACACAUCGCUCAGGGCGUGCUGCGGGUUCCGGCCGUUAAACCCCUUUUUUACCCAAGGUUGACCUCGGAUCAGGUAGGAAGACCCGCUGAACUUAAGCAUAUCAAUAAGCGGAGGA